CAAGUCGAACGGGGUUUAUAUAACAGAACUCUCCGGAGGGAAGAUAUAUAAACCUACCGGCGGACGGGUGAGUAACGCGUGGGCAACCUGCCCUGUACCGGGGGACAACAGCCAGAAAUGGCUGCUAAUACCGCAUAAGCCUGCUGUGCCGCAUGGCACAGCAGGGAAAACCACGGUGGUACAGGAUGGGCCCGCGUCUGAUUAGUUAGUUGGCAGGGUAACGGCCUACCAAGACAACGAUCAGUAGCCGGCUUGAGAGAGUGGACGGCCACAUUGGGACUGAGACACGGCCCAGACUCCUGCGGGAGGCAGCAGUGGGGAAUAUUGCACAAUGGGGGGAACCCUGAUGCAGCAAUGCCGCGUGGGUGAAGAAGCACUCCGGUGCGUAAAGCCCUGUCAGCAGGGAAGAAAAUGACAGUACCUGGACAAGAAGCCCCGGCUAACUACGUGCCAGCAGCCGCGGUAAUACGUAGGGGGCAAGCGUUAUCCGGAUUUACUGGGUGUAAAGGGAGCGCAGGCGGCGUGGCAAGUCAGAUGUGAAAACCCGGGGCCCAACCCCGGGAGUGCAUUUGAAACUGCCAUGCUGGAGUGCCGGAGAGGUAAGCGGAAUUCCUAGUGUAGCGGUGAAAUGCGUAGAUAUUAGGAGGAACACCAGUGGCGGAGGCGGCUUACUGGACGGUAACUGACGCUGAGGCUCGAAAGCGUGGGGAGCAAACAGGAUU
rnacentral:rRNA from 1 species